AUCAAUGCGAUAGGGUUGGAUGCAGUCAGGGUCAUUACACGGCCACCGUUCGCGGUGCACCUGGCUGGGAUGCCGUGAAAGGAUUGUGAGUCAUCCGAUCUGGGGGCUGGCCGUUCGAAAAUCGAUGGGCUGGGUGCUUCACCUGGGCCGUGGGAAAGCCACCGGCUACUCCGCCCACGUACAUGUGUAGUGCCUCCCGGGGAGCCCUACCUCCUGAAGAACCAUCCCAGUCCCCUUCCCGUUCCCGAUUCGCAUCCUCUGAUAUGGAACCAAAACAUGCGCACAGAAUGCGAAAGCGCACUGCGAGGGCCAUUUUUAACCGUGAAAAGUGUUCAUCCAAAUCUGCGGGAAGCUCAGCAUCCCAUCCGUCCUGAGGACUCCUCCCUGCCCUUUGACAUGGCCUAUUUAACUAGAUUCGUCUUGGGGUCGGCAAUGCCUCGCACAUCACCGCAAUAUGACUCUAAAAACUGGGUGGAUUGUUAUCUUUUUUCAAAUUUCUUAUUGUUAGCAAUUACCUUCAAAAUGGUUGUGACUAAUUUAAUUUUAAAAUAUUAAACAAAAUCCAAGCAUU